GAAGAAUUGUCAGGGUGAGGCAGGGGGACAGGGCACCAAGCAAUACUUUGGGCUUCUGCUCUCUGGUGUCUAUGGGAGGGCCUAUCACAUCAUGGGCCCUGUAUCAUCCUAAGUGCUUUAUCAAGGCUGUCGGAGAGUCUGCGACAGGAAGAGGGCAACUGAGAGAAGUGGGAAGAGCAUCUGGUGGGUACCAAUUGGCAGAGAAGGGGAGAAGACUGGUCAUUCUGUGACAUGCGGAGGACAGCCAGGUGGCCGGCUACAGCAGCAAUGGCAACAGAUGAAGAAGAGGGUGAGAACCACCACCAGGGGCAACCCCAGGAGCACAGCCAGGCAGACUGUGUUGAAGACGCCUCUUUCGUGUCUGAUCCGGAUGGUUUCCCAGACAGAGUUGAAGAAAGAACUGUUUCUCUCCAUGGUGCUGGUCUAGUGUGGGGCCAGAGGAUCGUCAAUUAUCUAACAAGCCCUCGGUGUCACAGAACACAGUGUUAGACACUUGGAAUUUAUUUUUCUCUCAGCUUCACGUUUGGGCAUGCCACCAGGAACACCUGAAGAAAGCAAAAUGGACAAUUCAAGAGAAAUGCAAUAGCAAUGGUCUGUCUAUUUUCA
ensembl:lincRNA 4930562F07Rik RIKEN cDNA 4930562F07 gene